rnacentral:rRNA from 1 species
UAGUCCACGCCGUAAACGAUGGAUACUAGCUGUCCGGGUCCUUGAGACCUGGGCGGCCAAGCGAAAGUGAUAAGUAUCCCACCUGGGGAGUACGUUCGCAAGAAUGAAACUCAAAGGAAUUGACGGGGGCCCGCACAAGCGGUGGAGCAUGUGGUUUAAUUCGAUGAUACGCGAGGAACCUUACCAGGGCUUAAAUGCAUAUUGACAGGGGUAGAGAUACCUUUUCCUUCGGGCAAUUUGCAAGGUGCUGCAUGGUUGUCGUCAGCUCGUGCCGUGAGGUGUCAGGUUAAGUCCUAUAACGAGCGCAACCCCCAUCAUUAGUUGCCAGCGGAUAAUGCCGGGGACUCUAAUGAAACUGCCGGUGUAAACCGAGAGGAAGGUGGGGAUGACGUCAAAUCAUCACGGCCCUUACGUCCUGGGGCUACACACGUGCUACAAUGGGUAGGGGACAGAGAGCAGCCACUGCGUGAGCAGGGAGC